CUCGCCCGGGGACUACGAGCAUAAGCUUAAAACCCAAAGGACUUGGCGGUGCUUUAGAUCCACCUAGAGGAGCCUGUUCUAGAACCGAUAACCCCCGUUCAACCUCACCCUCUCUUGUCUUUCCCGCCUAUAUACCGCCGUCGUCAGCUUACCCUAUGAAGGACUAACAGUAAGCAAAAUUGGCACAACCCAAAACGUCAGGUCGAGGUGUAGCGCAUGAGAGGGGAAGAAAUGGGCUACAUUUACUGACACAGUAAAUACGAACGAUGAAUUGAAACAAACAUCUAAAGGAGGAUUUAGCAGUAAGAAGGAAAAUAGAGUGUUCCCCUGAAACCGGCCCUGAAGCGCGCACACACCGCCCGUCACUCUCCCCAAGCUUAUUUACACUACUAAAUAAAACACAACAAUUGCAAAGGGGAGGCAAGUCGUAACAUGGUAAGUGUACCGGAAGGUGCACUUGGAAAAAU
rnacentral:rRNA from 1 species